rnacentral:rRNA from 1 species
AUUGAACGCUGGCGGCAGGCCUAACACAUGCAAGUCGAGCGAGCGGCGGACGGGUGAGUAAUGUAUGGGCAUCUGCCUGAUGGAGGGGGAUAACUACUGGAAACGUUAGCUAAUACCGCAUACGAUCAGAUGGACCCAUAUGGGAUUAGCUGGUAGGUGAGGUAACGGCUCACCUAGGCGACGAUCCCUAGCUGGUCUGAGAGGAUGAUCAGCCACACUGGGACUGAGACACGGCCCAGACUCCUACGGGAGGCAGCAGUGGGGAAUAUUGCACAAUGGGCGCAAGCCUGAUGCAGCCAUGCCGCGUGUAUGAAGAAGGCCUUCGGGUUGUAAAGCACUUUCAUUCGGGAGGCGUUACCGACAGAAGAAGCAACGGCUAACUCCGUGCCAGCAGCCGCGGUAAUAC